rnacentral:rRNA from 1 species
GAUGAACGCUGGCGGCGUGCUAAUACAUGCAGGUCGAACGCACAGCGAAAGGUGCUUGCACCUUUCAAGUGAGUGGCGAACGGGUGAGUAACACGUGGAUAACCUACCUCAAGGUUGGGGAUAACAUUUGGAAACAGAUGCUAAUACCGAAUAAAACUUCGUAUCGCAUGAUACAAGGUUAAAAGGCGCUACGGCGUCACCUAGAGAUGGAUCCGCGGUGCAUUAGUUAGUUGGUGGGGUAAAGGCCUACCAAGACAAUGAUGCAUAGCCGAGUUGAGAGACUGAUCGGCCACAUUGGGACUGAGACACGGCCCAAACUCCUACGGGAGGCUGCAGUAGGGAAUCUUCCACAAUGGGCGAAAGCCUGAUGGAGCAACGCCGCGUGUGUGAUGAAGGCUUUCGGGUCGUAAAGCACUGUUGUAUGGGAAGAACAGCUAGAGUAGGGAAUGACUUUAGUUUGACGGUACCAUACCAGAAAGGGACGGCUAAAUACGUGCCAGCAGCCGCGGUAAUACGUAUGUCCCGAGCGUUAUCCGGAUUUAUUGGGCGUAAAGCGAGCGCAGACGGUUGAUUAAGUCUGAUGUGAAAGCCCGGAGCUCAACUCCGGAAAGGCAUUGGAAACUGGUCAACUUGAGUGCAGUAGAGGUAAGUGGAACUCCAUGUGUAGCGGUGGAAUGCGUAGAUAUAUGGAAGAACACCAGCGGCGAAGGCGGCUUACUGGACUGUAACUGACGUUGAGGCUCGAAAGUGCGGGUAGCAAACAGG